CAUGCAAGUCAACUUGAAUUUGGGUUUUAACUUAAGUUUGGGUGGCGGACGGGUGAGUAACGCGUAAAGAACUUGCCUCACAGCUAGGGACGACAUUUGGAAACGAAUGCUAAUACCUAAUAUUAUGAUAAUAGGGCAUCCUAUAAUUAUGAAAGCUAUAAGCGCUGUGAGAGAGCUUUGCGUCCCAUUAGCUAGUUGGAGAGGUAACGGCUCACCAAGGCGAUGAUGGGUAGCCGGCCUGAGAGGGUGAUCGGCCACAAGGGGACUGAGACACGGCCCUUACUCCUACGGGAGGCAGCAGUGGGGAAUAUUGGACAAUGGACCAAGAGUCUGAUCCAGCAAUUCUGUGUGCACGAUGAAGUUUUUCGGAAUGUAAAGUGCUUUCAGUUGGGAAGAAAGAAAUGACGGUACCAACAGAAGAAGUGACGGCUAAAUACGUGCCAGCAGCCGCGGUAAUACGUAUGUCACGAGCGUUAUCCGGAUUUAUUGGGCGUAAGGCGCGUCUAGGUGGUUAUGUAAGUCUGAUGUGAAAAUGCAGGGCUCAACUCUGUAUUGCGUUGGAAACUGUAUAACUAGAGUACUGGAGAGGUAAGCGGAACUACAAGUGUAGAGGUGAAAUUCGUAGAUAUUUGUAGGAAUGCCGAUGGGGAAGCCAGCUUACUGGACAGAUACUGACGCUGAAGCGCGAAAGCGUGGGUAGCAAACAGGAUUAGAUACCCUGGUAGUCCACGCCGUAAACGAUGAUUACUAGGUGUUGGGGGUCGAACCUCAGCGCCCAAGCAAACGCGAU
rnacentral:rRNA from 1 species